rnacentral:misc_RNA from 1 species
GCCCAAGUGUCUUGAACAGUGCUUUACUGCUGAGAUGAUAAAUGUAAUUAAUGAACUCCAAGCAAUACAUAGUAUUAUGUACACAGUAUGAGUGCCUAUGUGUUGAAACUGCAUGUUCACAGUGCAGUGUACUUCCUUGAAGAAACUAUUGAAAAUUGUGAUUCUUUCUAUAUAAAGAGCAUUUAAGAUAUAUUUCCUGCAGAUUUUGAGUGAAUGGAUGGUGGUUCCCAAUCUUUGUUAUAAAUGUGCUUGUAAACUAAGAGGCAAAAGUACAUGGAUUUUAAUACUGGUACUUAAUGCUAUUGGAUUCAUGAUUUAAUUAAGUACCCAAUUAAAAUUGGUGUAAAUCUCCCAAUCAGUGUAAAUCUAUUUAGAAAUCUAUGUGUCUGUGAUAAAUACCACAUGUACAUUUAUAUUUUUGUUUGUAAUAAAAAUCUUUUAUAU